rnacentral:piRNA from 1 species
UCCGUCUGAAGCACAGUGUGUACAGCCU